rnacentral:rRNA from 1 species
CGUUCCCGGGCCUUCGUACACACCGCCCGUCACACCUAUGGGUAGUUGGUUUUACCUUAAGACGGUUUGCUAACCGCAAGGAGGCAGCCGGCCACGGUAAGGUCAGCGACUGGGGUG